GAUAGAGGCCUACCAUGGUGGUAACGGGUAACGGGGUGUUAGGGCACGACACCGGAGAGGGAGCCUGAGAAACGGCUACCACAUCCAAGGAUGGCAGCAGGCGCGCAAAUUACCCAAUCCCGACACGGGGAGGUAGUGACAAUAAAUAACAAUACGGGGUUCUUUAGGAUCUCGUAAUUGGAAUGAGUACAAUUUAAAUCUCUUAACGAGGAACAAUUGGAGGGCAAGUCUGGUGCCAGCAGCCGCGGUAAUUCCAGCUCCAAUAGCGUAUAUUAAAGUUGUUGCAGUUAAAAAGCUCGUAGUUGAAUUUCGGGGUUAGUAGGUUGGUCAUGCCUCUGGUAUGUACUGGUCUCACUGAUUCCUCCUUCCUUAUGAACCGUAAUGCCAUUAAUUUGGUGUUGCGGGGAAUUUGGACUGUUACUUUGAAAAAAUUAGAGUGUUUAAAGCAAGCUAACGCUUGAAUACAUUAGCAUGGAAUAAUGAAAUAGGACGUUCGAUCUUAUUUUGUUGGUUUCUAGGAUUGACGUAAUGAUUAAUAGGGAUAGUUGGGGGCAUUAGUAUUCAAUUGUCAGAGGUGAAAUUCUUGGAUUUAUUGAAGACUAACUACUGCGAAAGCAUUUGCCAAGGAUGUUUUCAUUAAUCAAGAACGAAAGUUAGGGGAUCGAAGACGAUCAGAUACCGUCGUAGUCUUAACCAUAAACUAUGCCGACUAGGGAUCGGAUG
rnacentral:rRNA from 1 species